rnacentral:rRNA from 1 species
UGAGGAAUCUUGCGCAAUGGGGGAAACCCUGACGCAGCAACGCCGCGUGAGUGAGGAAGGCCUUCGGGUCGUAAAGCUCUGUCAGAUGGGAAGAAAUGGGUGGGGGUGAAUAUCGUCCACCCUUGACGCUACCAUCAGAGGAAGCACCGGCUAACUCCGUGCCAGCAGCCGCGGUAAUACGGGGGGUGCAAGCGUUGUGCGGAUGCAUUGGGCGUAAAGCGCGCGUAGGCGGCUUGGUAAGUCAGAGG